rnacentral:rRNA from 1 species
UACGGAGGAUGCAAGCGUUAUCCGGAAUGAUUGGGCGUAAAGCGUCCGCAGGUGGCAAUGUAAGUCUGCUGUUAAAGAGUCUAGCUCAACUAGAUAAAAGCAGUGGAAACUACAUAGCUAGAGUACGUUCGGGGCAGAGGGAAUUCCUGGUGUAGCGGUGAAAUGCGUAGAGAUCAGGAAGAACACCGGUGGCGAAGGCGCUCUGCUAGGCCGUAACUGACACUGGGGGACGAAAGCUAGGGGAGCGAAUGGG